rnacentral:rRNA from 1 species
UACGAAGGGGGCUAGCGUUGCUCGGAAUGACUGGGCGUAAAGGGCGCGUAGGCGGAGUGCUUUGUCGGGCGUGAAAUUCCAGGGCUCAACCUUGGGGCUGCGUUCGAGACGGGUAUUCUUGAGUUCGGAAGAGGGUCGUGGAAUUCCCAGUGUAGAGGUGAAAUUCGUAGAUAUUGGGAAGAACACCGGUGGCGAAGGCGGCGACCUGGUCCGAUACUGACACUGAGGAGCGAAAGCGUGGGGAGCGAACAGG